rnacentral:sRNA from 1 species
CAUUCGACAAGUCUCUACAACACUGGAGACACUACAGUCCUGUGACCACUUAAUACACAGUCCACGAUGAACUAUUUGCUGAAUUUAUUGUUGCUUGUUAUUUUAUUUCUGAUGGUUAUUUACACUAUGGCCCUGACAGAGCCGUGUCCACCAUACUG